AUUGAACGCUGGCGGCAUGCCUUACACAUGCAAGUCGAACGGCAGCGGACCUUCGGGUGCCGGCGAGUGGCGAACGGGUGAGUAAAGUAUCGGAACGUACCUUUCAGUGGGGGAUAACUGUCCGAAAGGACAGCUAAUACCGCAUAUUCUGUGAGCAGGAAAGCAGGGGGAUCGCAAGACCUUGCGCUGAUUGAGCGGCCGAUAUCAGAUUAGCUAGUUGGUGAGGUAAAGGCUCACCAAGGCGACGAUCUGUAGCGGGUCUGAGAGGAUGAUCCGCCACACUGGAACUGAGACACGGUCCAGACUCCUACGGGAGGCAGCAGUGGGGAAUUUUGGACAAUGGGGGCAACCCUGAUCCAGCCAUGCCGCGUGAGUGAAGAAGGCCUGGUGUAAGCUCUUCGUCGGACGAAGUACGCACAGAGUAAUAA
rnacentral:rRNA from 1 species